GUAAGUAGAUGUAUUCUGUGAACCGCAUUAAGAUUUUCACACAAAAAUAGAAAAAAAAACAAUAAAUUUUGGGGGUUCCCCAUACUUAAAAACCGAAACCCGAUUUUUUUUUUUUCAUCAAACCCAUACGUGUGGGGUAUCUAUGGAUAGGUCUUUAAAAAUGAUAUUGAGGUUUCUAAUAUAUUUUUUUUCUAAACUGAAUAGUUUGCGCGAGAGACGACACUUCCAAAGUGGUAAAAUGUGAGUCCCCCCCCCCCCCCCCUGUAACUUCUAAAAUAAGAGAAUGAUAAAACUAAAAAAAAAUAUAUGUUUACCAUGCAAACUUCCACCGAAAAUUGGUUUGAACGAGAUCUAGUAAGUAGUUUUUUUUAAUACGUCACAAA